ensembl:lncRNA
GUUCACGCCUCCACGUCGUCCAUUAAUUCCUGAUAAUGGACACCUCGUCGGGCAUUAUCCCUUACAUAUAUGACAGCCAAAAUCAUACAUUGUUAUGCCAUACAGUUUAGAACCCCUUUAGGUUUGUGUGCGGGAUGUGGAUGUGCAUGUAAACAUGCCUAUAAUUAUGUUACCAACUUUGGAACUGUGACUUAUAUUGGCGUAGUAUUUCCAAUGCCAGCAUUUAUUAAUAUUAUGAUUACAGUAAUGAUAAUAAUAAUAAUAAUAAUAAUACAAAUAAUAAGGCUCUCAUGUAAGCGUAUAUAUUUAACAGUUGCUUUACGGAGGUGCCGAUCCCUAAGGGCCACACAGGGUAUGCAACCGCAAGGUACUGGCCUUCCUUGACCACAGCAUGUCCUGGUACUGAUGAGAAACAUUUGCCAAUUUAUCUUUCCUAUAUAUUUCCUUUUUUUAUUAGAACAUUUUUAUUGAAGAAAAACUCCUGUAAAUAGCGUCUUCUCUUUUAAUAAUACCUCUUAUAUACCUGUACUCACAAACAGGCACUUUGGGCCCAUUCAGACCCCUCUGCAUAAAUCUAUUCUGUAACCCCCCCCAGCCAGGGUGCUGAGCCAACAUUCGAGUCGCCGACUUGUAAAACAGGAAAAGGAGGCCUGCCUUAACUAGUCAUGGAGCAGUGUCAAGUUAUGUUCUAUAAAUGUUUUUUCAAUAUACCAUAUAUUUUCUAACCCAGCAAUCAGUCAGUGAUUUUUGCCUGGACAACCUCACCAUACACAUUGGAAGGACCCCGGUUUUUAGUAAUUUUGCAUUUAAGAUCUUUGAUUGAACACCUAUAGUGCUGGACCAUUCCCUUCCAUGUCCAUGUCCUGUUGCUCUAUGCAAAAGACAAAUUACCCUAACCCCAAAAUGCACAAUCCGGUUUAUAAUUAACCAUUCACUAACCACUACUACUACCUAUAAAUCAAUUAAAAUAUUUUUUUGUCAUUGUUAUAAUUGAUAUGAUCAGAUAAUCUUGCUAUAAGCACUUGAGUGUGGGUGUGUGGACACAGGGGACAGUGUGACAAAUGGUCCUUGUAAUCAGUUUAACUGUGGUACAUACUUGAAUGAAGAACUUCCUGAUAAUGUAUUAUACACAUGACGAAUCAAUGCCUUUACCUAUCUCGGCUAGUAAGGCUAGUAAUAUAAUAUGUUGCUGUUACACCACAACAGUGCCUACCUGUGGAACAUUGAAGCACCAAUGUAAUAUCUCUUUAACCCUUCGCUCCUUAAUGAUUAUGUUUAUUGUCGUCAUUUAAUUAAUUGGUUAUGACCGCUGACUGUUGGCCUUGUGACGAUUCCGUCCAUCUUCCCUUUUUUUUAUUUGAACCAAAGACAUAUUCGGUAUAAUUUACAUACAAACUGAGCUCUGUAAAUCCAGUGUUCACAAGGCAGAAUAAAGUUUAUUCUUUAAACAUAGUUUUGAGAGUACCCAUAGAAAGCUUUAUGUGAAUGUAUUAAUCAACAGCGGCCACAUCUUUCCCGAACCAUGAGAAAUAUGUGCUGUCAUUGUGCCCUCUUGUGGCGAGGGACGACCUCUACAUUAGGAAUGUAAUUUCAAUUAUACCCAAAUCAUUUCCCCUCCUGCACUUCCACAAUGCUCAGUAGAACUCUUUGUACGCUUUCAAAGAACGACAAAACGAUUACCAAGCCCAAACUCCAAGGCUAAUCUGAUUUACAUUUGUUACCCAUCUUCUUUGCCAUAUCUCAAGUGGUCACUGAAUGACAUUCCUUUUAUAUCGUGACAUAUUGGGACACUUUAAACUAGUUCAGUUUCUUUAGUUAAGGUUUUCUGAUGACAUGAUGUUUUAAGAAACAGUAUGGCCAGGCUGUGUAUUAAAGUGUUGCAUGUCUCAAAUACUUUUACAAAAGGUGCCGGGUUAUUCAGAUUACCUAAUUAUCUGAACUUUAAUAUUAGGCUUUUUUCUAUUGUUAAAACUACUGUUUAUUAUUAAAGGUUUGUGGCUCUCAGCCUUUGUUUCAUACAUGAGGAAAGACCAUUUGUUUAACAAAUCAGACAUUUUGUUGGUCUAUUGUUGAAGACUGUGCAAUCAGCUGCAAUAAAGUGGU